UACAGAGGGGGCAAGCGUUGUUCGGAAUUACUGGGCGUAAAGGGCGCGUAGGCGGCCUGUUAAGUCGGACGUGAAAUCCCUCGGCUCAACCGGGGAACUGCGUCCGAUACUGGCGGGCUUGAAUUCGGGAGAGGGAUGUGGAAUUCCAGGUGUAGCGGUGAAAUGCGUAGAUAUCUGGAGGAACACCGGUGGCGAAGGCGGCAUCCUGGACCGGUAUUGACGCUGAUGCGCGAAAGCCAGGGGAGCAAACGGG
rnacentral:rRNA from 1 species